CACGUAGGGUGCGAGCGUUGUCCGGAAUUAUUGGGCGUAAAGAGCUCGUAGGCGGUGUGUCGCGUCGGCCGUGAAAACUUGCAGCUUAACUGUGGGCGUGCGGUCGAUACGGGCAUCACUGGAGUUCGGCAGGGGAGACUGGAAUUCCUGGUGUAGCGGUGAAAUGCGCAGAUAUCAGGAGGAUCACCGGUGGCGAAGGCGGGUCUCUGGGCCGAUACUGACGCUGAGGAGCGAAAGCGUGGGGAGCGAACAGG
rnacentral:rRNA from 1 species